AAAUAUUCAACAUUUAAUGAACCAAGUACUCCGUUAAUUAUCUGAAGUUCUGCUUCCCAUUACAUAACUGUAAAUGCGUUGAGAACGCACGAGAAAUAAGAAGAACGCUUUAAAAAGUAGUCAAGUACAGCCAGCUAACGUCAAAACCAGAAAAUGAGAACGCCAUAAAAUGGUCAUCACUUCUGAUCAAUGUCAACGGUAUAGCGCUUAGGAAAAUAAAACAUCUGGAGUAUAAUAAAUGCUAGUGGUAAAAUGGCAAAGUGUCUAGAAAUUUAGGUGGCAGUGGACGAGUUUUGAAAUAACUCAGCAGCAUAAAUGUAAACCCAGCGCACACAUCAACUCACUUACUCUGCGUGGACGCAGUAACCUUGACCCAAAGAAAAGCAACAGCAACAAAGCAAAAAGCUAAUUGCAAGCUGGUCUUUUUUGCUCCGAAAUGGAGUCAGAGCGAUCAACUUCGCCGUUGGAGCCUCAAGGGAGCUGAUGAAUACUGCAAAAUGAUGAGAGCAGACGAAACACCACCGCUUGGAUACCAAGCUAACUCCUUGGUUAAGCUAUUUGCCGCCAUCACAUUUUGGAUGCAAUCACGAGACCUCAAAAGCUCAUAUUAAAAUGCUUACAUGUCACAUGAUAAAGAAAGUUGCUUGGCAACUUCGAAUGAAAUAGGAUCGGGUGUAAUUUGAGUUUAGAUAUCUGGCUACUGUUCAGUUGAGGUGAAUAAAUAUAUGUGUUCCUGUGGGGAUAACAAUUUUACUGCUUCCGUGCCCUUUUUAGCGAAAAUUUGUUGUUGGCGAAAAAGACGUAACAUUUUACUCGGAUCUUCUAACACCUGCAUCUGAGGAAGAAGACCAGACAUAACUGUGAAGAAGUGAAGUUCAUUGAGUUUAUUAUUCCAUAAGUAAAGUAGAGGAACCGUUCACGCUUCACUGUGGCUGAUACAUAGAUAAUACUACUACUACCAUCUAUAUGA